rnacentral:Y_RNA from 1 species
GGCUGGUCCGAAGGUAGUGAAUUAUCUCACUUGAUUAUUCACAGUCACUUACAGGUUGAACUCCUUGUUCUUCUACUUCCCCUUUCCUCACUACUGCAUUUGACUAGUCUUAA